rnacentral:rRNA from 1 species
GGCCCUGCUUUUGUGGGGUGCUCGAGUGGCGAACGGGUGAGUAACACGUGAGUAACCUGCCCUUGACUUUGGGAUAACUUCAGGAAACUGGGGCUAAUACCGGAUAGGAGCUCCUGCUGCAUGGUGGGGGUUGGAAAGUUUCGGCGGUUGGGGAUGGACUCGCGGCUUAUCAGCUUGUUGGUGGGGUAGUGGCUUACCAAGGCUUUGACGGGUAGCCGGCCUGAGAGGGUGACCGGCCACAUUGGGACUGAGAUACGGCCCAGACUCCUACGGGAGGCAGCAGUGGGGAAUAUUGCACAAUGGGCGGAAGCCUGAUGCAGCAACGCCGCGUGCGGGAUGACGGCCUUCGGGUUGUAAACCGCUUUCGCCUGUGACGAAGCGUGAGUGACGGUAAUGGGUAAAGAAGCACCGGCUAACUACGUGCCAGCAGCCGCGGUGAUACGUAGGGUGCGAGCGUUGUCCGGACUUAUUGGGCGUAAAGGGCUCGUAGGUGGUUGAUCGCGUCGGAAGUGUAAUCUUGGGGCUUAACCCUGAGCGUGCUUUCGAUACGGGUUGACUUGAGGAAGGUAGGGGAGAAUGGAAUUCCUGGUGGAGCGGUGGAAUGCGCAGAUAUCAGGAGGAACACCAGUGGCGAAG